UAUGAGUUGAGUUGUGCAGAACAGGUGGAGCAUGAUAGUGAACCUGCCACAUAUAAUGAAGUAGUUGUUUCCGGCAACCGUGUGAAGUGGUUGUCUGCCAUGCAAGAGGAGAUGCAAUCUCUUGAGAAGAAUGGCACAUGUGAUGUUGUGCCCUUGCCUAAACAAAAGAAGGUCGUUCGCUACAAGUGAAUCUUAAAGAGAAAAGAGGUUUGUCUCCUAAUAAGCCUAUGGGGUUUAAGACAAGUUAGAUGUGAAGACUGCAUUUUGCAUGGAGAGCUUGAGGUGGAAAUAUGCAUGGACCAACCUAAAGGGUUCAUAGUUCCUGGUCAAGAGGAGUUUGUUUGCAAGUUGAAGAAGUUCCUUUAUGGUUUAAAACAAUCUCCUAGAUAGUGGUAUAAAAGGUACCUUCGUGACACAUCCAAUCCUUACUUGAAUUUUGGCAAGACUAAUGAGGGACUCGCGGGCUAUGUGGAUUCAGAUUUUGCUGCUGACUUGGAUAAGAGGAGAUCUCUCACAGAUUAUGUGUUCACGGUAGGUGGAUGUGCUGUGAGUUGGAAGGCAACACUGCAAUCAGUUGUUGCUCAAUUUACAACCGAAACAGAAUAUAUGGCUAUUGCUGAAACUUGCAAAGAGUCUGUUUGGUUAAAGAGUUUAUAUGUUGAGCUUUGUCAAGAUGUUUCUUGCAUUAACCUGUUUUGUGACAGUCAAAGUGCUAUUUACCUUAGUAACGAUCAGAUGCUCCAUGAGAGAACCAAGCACAUUGAUGUCAAGUACCAUUUUGUUCGCGACGUUGUUGCACAAGAUAAAUUGAAGAUAUGUAAGAUCAGCAUUCAUGAUAAUUUUGCUGAUAUAAUGACAAAGACUGUUUCUAUUGCUAAGUUUGAGCUAUACUCAAGUUUAGUUGGUAUAACUGUUUAGCUCCUAGUGGUUGUUGGCGCCGAAAGUGUUUUUUUUGUUGUUUCAGGAGUUGUUGUUCAUGCUACAAGGAGGAAUUUGCUAUAAGGAGAAAUUUGUCUCAAAGUGGAGUUUGUUCGUUCGUGAUCCAAAUUCCCAGGCACUGGAACUUCCGGCCGAACCUCUGGCCGAACCUCCGGUUGCUCUCUGUUACUUUUCGGAAAAAUACGGAACUUGCUGCGGAACUUCUGGAUAUUCAAGAAUUACCGGAACUUUCGUCCUCCAACUGGAACUUCCGGUGUUCCCGUUAUGGAUCUGUUUUGUUAUAAUGCUUCUGCUAUAUAUAACCCUUGUAAGCCGCCGUUUUGGGUAGAGUUCGCUCAAGUUGCAUCUGAAAGAAUCUCCCUAGCGUUGUAAACACUUCUCAUAUAGU